AUGUCUACUUCUUUAUCAACUCCAACUUCCGUUAUGUGCUCUAGCAUACACAGCCUGCAGCUCAGCUCCACCGACCAGAUGAUGAUGGCUGACAAAGAGCUCGAUGUCCAUGGCUCGCCGGGUUCCGCUGGCUCCACUAACAGCUGUGUGCGGGGGCUUGCACAGGAUACCCAGCAAGUGUUUAGGAUUCCACACAGGGCAGUUCUUGACAUGCUCCUAGCACACCUUGGCCUAUCACCGGCUCAGUAUGAACAUGUUGUUCAUGAGGACGACAAGAUCCAUGUGACCGUCUUUUUCAACACCUCUACGUUGGGUCCUGGAGGACCAAUCAGUAUGAAAGUGUCAUGUCGUCAUUCCUACUGGUCUAUUUUAUGCCUAAGACAUGCAAAGUUGUGGAUCGUCUGUAAGCUACCAUGUGCUAUCGUAUCUCCUAUGCCUAUGAUAUUUGCUAGUAAACCUAUCGUGCAACGUGCUUUCUAUGUCCGUACAUUGUUAGGUGGCUUCUUAUUGUGUGCAUACAAAUGA
rnacentral:rRNA from 1 species